UUGUGUUGCAAGAUUUAGACGACGGUGUUGUACCCGAUCUUCUUUCGUAGCUUCUAUCCUACUACCUCUAAUUGCAUACUAUAUGCAAUGUGUGGUUAAACGCCCAUAUUAUAUAUACACGUAUAUAUACGGUUGGGAAAAAUUUGAGAAGUGUACGUGUAGAAAUUUUCAAAAUUAUUAAUAGACGAUUUCUUUAUAAAGUAUCACCAAGUAAAUGGUAUUCUUUAUUUAUCAUAUCUGUGAUAGUAUGAGUAUAAUUAAAAUUCACACCAUGAUCUUACACAUAAUGAUACUUAAGAAGAAAUGUCCAGCACUUUAGCCACCACAUUCUAAUUUGGGAGAAUGUGGGAGAUGUACUUUGCCUAACGGUAGAACACUUGGGAACGACGAGGUAUGGUACAACCAUUGGAUGCGGUGUUUUCACGAUUCGUAAACCACGUAUCUACCGACACACACACCCACACACACGUUCAUGUAUCGUAUUUUAGUUACCAUAAACUUCUUGUUACAGUGAUUAAUAAUGACGACACUAUUCAUCUAAUUAAUAUUCAAAAUGAUAAUAAUAGUUAAGAUAAUAAUAAAAAUAUAAAUAAAUCAAC
rnacentral:lncRNA from 1 species